CCUACGGGAGGCAGCAGUAGGGAAUCUUCCACAAUGGACGAAAGUCUGAUGGAGCAAUGCCGCGUGAGUGAAGAAGGGUUUCGGCUCGUAAAACUCUGUUGUUAGAGAAGAACGGGCGUGAGAGUAACUGCUCACGUCGCGACGGUAUCUAACCAGAAAGUCACGGCUAACUACGUGCCAGCAGCCGCGGUAAUACGUAGGUGCCAGCAGCCGCGGUAAUACGUGCCAGCAGCCGCGGUAAUACGUAGGUGCCAGCAGCCGCGGUAAU
rnacentral:rRNA from 1 species